rnacentral:rRNA from 1 species
CCAAUAGCGUAUAUUAAAGUUGUUGCAGUUAAAAAGCUCGUAGUUGAAUUUCGGGGUCAUCAGGUUGGUCGUGCCAAUGGUAUGCACUGGCCUUGGUGAUUCCUCCUUCUUGUAGAGCCGUGAUGCCAUUAAUUUGGUGUUGCGGGGAAACAGGACUGUUACUUUGAAAAAAUUAGAGUGUUUAAAGCAGGCUCACGCUUGAAUACAUUAGCAUGGAAUAAUAAAAUAGGACGUUCGAUCCUAUUUUGUUGGUUUCUAGGGUUGACGUAAUGAUUAAUAGGGAUAGUUGGGGGCAUUAGUAUUCAAUUGUCAGAGGUGAAAUUCUUGGAUUUAUUGAAGACUAACUACUGCGAAAGCAUUUGCCAAGGAUGUUUUCAUUAAUCAAGAACGAAAGUUAGGGGAUCGAAGACGAUCAGAUACCGUCGUAGUCUUAACCAUAAACUAUGCCGACUAGGGAUCGGAUGAUGUUAAUUUUUUAAUGACUCAUUCGGCGCCUUACG